rnacentral:rRNA from 1 species
UGAGGAACAUGACCUUCGGCGGGGGAUAGCCGGCCCAACGGCCGGAUAAUACCGCGUACGACCACAUGGGGACGUCCCUGAGUGGUGAAAGCAGCAAUGCGCCGAUGGAGUGCCUCGCGGCCUAUCAGCUAGUUGGUGAGGUAACGGCUCACCAAGGCGACGACGGGUAGCUGGUCUGAGAGGAUGGCCAGCCACAUUGGGACUGAGACACGGCCCAGACCUCUAACGGGGAG